AGAAAUUCCAUGCUUUGUAAAGGGCCGUUAUCUUGAUCUGAUUUUUUUGGCUUCUCUUGUACAUUGUCUGCCUGAUAUUGAAAAUCAAGCACCUGAGCUUUUUGACAUUUUUUUCUCCGAAGAAAAAUCUAAAAGUACUGGAAUUUUACUUCAUUUCAUUACAGAACACCAGAAGAUAACAUACUACCAAAAAUCUACUUUUUGUUGAAAAUAAACACAUUGCGCAAUGAACUUUAUUUACUGGACUGCCACAUUGAUACGUACAGUACCUGCCCUGACAGGCAUUCAGAACAAGAAUGUUUGGGCUAGGCACUGCGCCCGCAGAUCGCAGGAAAAUGAUAUCCUACCUGUCCUUACAAGCACUCUCUGGUAAUCUCCCAUUUGCGUCUGACGUGCACGGUCAAGCCACUCUGCGAUUAUAGCCUGGAUUGCCUCACAUUGGCAAUCUUCUCUUACUGGCUGUACUUCUUUGCAACACUCCCGGAGCUGCUGUCUCUCCUGCUGGUUUUUCUCUCCGGGCAUCUCUAACACAUUUUUGUCCGUUGAUGUCCUCGAACUUGCCGCUACGUACAUCAGACAGGCGCUCAAAUCCUUCCCCUCAAGUUCCUGGCGGCAAUUUUCUGAAGGCGACCAUAUUCCCGUCCUACUUGGAUUGGUAUCAUCGACCUCAACAGUUGUGGUGGCGGUUGUGUAGGCAAAAGAUGCAUUGGCAAUAAUGACCAAGAGAACGCUAAUGAGAGCUACUGUAGGUAUGAGCUUUGCCAUGGUUACAGAACUUAUAAUAUCAUAAUAGCACCUAAAGAAUAUAUAUAUACAUAUUGUUCUAGGAGCGGAUGAAGAAGGUGAGGUUAAAGGCAAUCAGUAUUUGAGGAGUGCAUGCAUAGAAUUUGGAAGAUGUAUGAAAUGGCUAGUCACUUCUCGCAAUUUCAUGGGGUGGCUACAUCUGGUUUUGCGGUCGGGUUUAUGCUUACACGUCGGGCAGCAACAUGCAAAUUCUUAAAAAUAAUGCUGAUUAUCAGGUCAAAUUAAGUUUUUAGCAUACGAAGGCAUUAUAAAUUCGGAUUUAUAAUGAGCACAAAAAAUUGAUUGAAAAGAUGCAUUUUGGUGAGGAGGCCCAACGAGGCCUCAGUCACUAAUUUAAUUUAAGAAUUGCAUAAGUAAUAAAAAGAAGCCCUUUUAUAUUAAUCGGACAUGUAUUAUUAAAUUUUUAUACUUUAAAAUAGUUCAAUGUCACUUUUUAAUUUUUUAAAUAGUACAAAUAAACUUAAAAUUUUAGCACCGUUAGAAUAUCAAUAAAUAAUAGAGUCUACUUAAAAUACUAACUAAUCAUAGGAUGACAUGUCAAUAUUAUAUUUUUCUUAUUUCAUUCAAAAAAAUUAAUUAUGACAUCAUAAUAAAUAAAUAAUAUUACUUUUUCUCUAACUCAUUUUUUUCACCUUUUUUACCAUUCUUCAAUCAAAUGAAACACUAUGUUUACAGAAUAAAAUAUAAUCAGAAUAAAAAUAUAAUCAAUCAAAAAGAAAUUGUUGAAUGUGAAGCAAUCCAACUCACCUUUUGCAGGAACAUCAUUGCCAUGAAGUAUCGCCCAGCCGUUGAUGCUACAUGUUCUUGCAUAUGGCUCUCAAUGCGAAUUCAAAUGCGAUGGUCGUCACAGAUCUCAUAAAUUCAGAAUUGAAAGAAUAAUCAGUGGAUUACUUGUUUCCAACAGGUCCAAUUUCAAGAGCAGAUGCAUGAUCUAGUGUGGGAUUUGGACUGAAUGCUUCCUGUAUCAGCUUAUAAUGCAUCAGCAAAGAACAAAGAGAAAUUUACAGAGAAGAACAUGAUUGUCUAAACUUUGCAGAAUCAAGGAGAAUAAUGCGACAGUCAGAAGUAGAAGAGGUGUAUAAUCAGCAAAAGAUGCACCAAUGGCAUCAGUAGCGAGGGCAAGGCGAGUUAACGGCAUCAAUAGCAAAGGCGAGAGCAGUAACGACAGUGAUGGUGAAAAAAUGACCAGUAAUAGUGACCGGCUUGUAGUAGUGGUUGGCAGUGGUGCUCAAUGGUUGUGCGUUAAAAGUUGAUUUUUUUGAAUUUAAUUAAUUACAUUUUUUAUCUUAUGCCAUUUAAGAACAUCACCCUUCUUGUCUUAGGAUGCUAAUCGCGAAAUAUGACUUUCGUUUUCCCAUUGAAGUUAGAAAGAAGUAUCAGAAAAGCCCAAAAACAGUAAUUUCGCUGGCGAUUUGCCAUGUUCAGCCACCUCAAAGUGUGAAGCUGACAACUCGCAUUAGCAGCACUUCAUUAUCGUCGGUUUUCACGUUAAUUAGACAUUGAAUGAGAAAGACUCGGAAAAUGAAAUUUAAGCUAUGAUUUUUUCUCCACCGGUUACCUUCGCUUUCAUCAUCGAUCGAGUAUACCAUAAUAUUAUCAUGCCCCUUUCUUUCUCAAUCUCAAUUUGUUUCCUUAGUAGAAGAUGGCAUAUAUAUAUAUAUAUAUAUAUAUAUGAGUAAACAAAUUUCUAUUAUUUUUUAUCAUAUGCAUGCUUCUUAUAAAUUCUAGAUAGGUCCACAAGUUAUAUAUGCCAGGUGGAUAUUUUUAGACUUUUAUUUUUUCUAAAUAAUUAAGUAUUUUAUUUUGAUUCAUUAUCAUAAUUAUCAAAUCGUAGUGUAUAACUUCAAAAAUUAAAUUAACUCUCAUCAAAAUGUUGAAAUUCUGAAAAAACAUACUGACAAUUAGAUUAACUGGAAAAAUAUAUUGAUUAGAAAUAAAAGAAAUUUAGUAAAAUAUUUAAUAAUAAUUUUAAGAAUUAAAUUAAACUUUUUUUUAUUAAUUAAUCCUUAAACGAAUUAACCAAAACAGAUGAAAAGAGAAAAAAAAAUUAUAGAAACAAAUGUCAACAAAGUAUUAAUUCACUUUUCGAUUUUCAAAAUAUAGAAUUGAGUUUGAAAAACCGAGUAAAUAGUAAUUUUUCUAUGAGGUCUGCAAACUGGCAGUGCUAUUUUGCCUCAUUAUGACUAUUAAUUGAAGAGUCUGGCAAGUUCUAAUAAGGCAUACUUGCUGAUCAUGACUUCUCAUUUGGAGUUGAUGACCUAGAUAUUGCUCCUAAUGGGGAACGUGAUUUACUCAGGCAGGAUUUGAAAAGGGCGUUAUCUUGAUCCGAGUUUUCUGCUUGAUAUUGAAAAUCAAGCACCUGAGUUUAUUGACAGUUUAUUUCUUUGGAGGAAUUUUACUUCAUUUCAUUACAUAACACCAGAAAAUAAUAUACUAACUAAUACAGGUUAUGUUUACUGUGUUGUAGUUACCGUAGUUAAUUAUUGAUGGUUGUUAUAUAGUUAGUUAUUGGAAUUAACACGUGGCAUAACUCUAUUGGUCAUAGGGUUUGUAAUUUGGCUAUAAAUACAUGCAUAAUGUAUGAGCACAGUAACAAGAAUAAUAAUUCAGUUUUCUUCAGUUUCUUUUCUUCGAAGUUUUCUGUUUCUUUUUUAUCUCAACAUGGUAUCAGAGCUAUUUUAGCUCAUUCAAUUCCGCAAUUUUCUGUUCAAAGUGUACUCUGAAAGCUAGCCUUUUUCUGGGUUUUUUCUUGUUCUCUUUAAAAAUAUAUUUCUUUUGUUCUUUUCUUAAUCAUUUACGAUCAAGAUUUGAUCUUUUACUUUGAUAAUCNNNNNNNNNNNNNNNNNNNNNNNNNNNNNNNNNNNNNNNNNNNNNNNNNNNNNNNNNNNNNNNNNNNNNNNNNNNNNNNNNNNNNNNNNNNNNNNNNNNNNNNNNNNNNNNNNNNNNNNNNNNNNNNNNNNNNNNNNNNNNNNNNNNNNNNNNNNNNNNNNNNNNNNNNNNNNNNNNNNNNNNNNNNNNNNNNNNNNNNNNNNNNNNNNNNNNNNNNNNNNNNNNNNNNNNNNNNNNNNNNNNNNNNNNNNNNNNNNNNNNNNNNNNNNNNNNNNNNNNNNNNNNNNNNNNNNNNNNNNNNNNNNNNNNNNNNNNNNNNNNNNNNNNNNNNNNNNNNNNNNNNNNNNNNNNNNNNNNNNNNNNNNNNNNNNNNUUUGAAACCUGUUCCUAGCUGUUCUUGUAAUCCUAGAUGUAAAUGUGGUGUUCUUAAUGUUGUUAAGAAGUAUCAAGAUGAUGAUUAUGUGAUAAAAUUUGUUAAAGGUCUUAAUGAGAACUUCAAUCAGUUGAAAACUCAGUUGAAGACAAUGGAUCCACUUCCUGAUAUUAGCAAGGUAUUCAAUAUGGUUUUGCAGCAUGAGAGAGAAUUGUCUGUUGGAAAAGAGAAAUCUGUAGAAUCUAAUGUGUUUCUUGCAAAAAGUUUUUAUUCUAAUAAUAGGGGUAAUAAUCAAGGAAUGCAACAGAAUAAAGGAAGUAGUCAAUCAAGUUUUAGAAGGACUUUACAAUCGAACAGUAAUGGCAACAUAAAGAGGUUCAAUAAUCAACAGAAUUUUAAUAGACCCAUGUGCACAUUCUGUGGAAUUUCAAGUCAUACUAUUGAUUCUUGCUAUAAAAAGCACGAAUUUCCACCUGGAUUCAAAUUCAAGAAACCUAGCUAUGCUAACUUUGUGGAGACAGAUCAGACAGAUGAACAGCAAGUCCAUGGAAAUGACAGUAAUAUGCAAUCUGCUAAUGGAAAUGCUUCUAGUUUUCAAUUUACUAAUGAGCAGUGUGCCAAAUUGAUUCAGAUGCUUCAACAGACUUCAGCUUCUAUGAAUUCACAACCUCAAGUGAAUGCUCUUGUUACAAACUUUGUACCUGAUCAAGAAACAGGUAUGCAUUUUGUAUCUUAUAUAGAAAACUCACCCUUUCAUGAAAAUUUGUGUAUUAUUGAUUCGGGUGCUACAGAUCAUAUAGUCUGCCAUACAAAUUUUUUUACUAGUUUUAAACCUGUUACAAAUGUUUUUGUACAUCUACCAAAUAGAUAAAAGAUUCUUGUUUCUCAUAUUGGUCAAGACAGGUUAUCUCCUUUCUUUAUUCUUGACAAUGUCCUAUGUGUUCCCACUUUUCCUUUUAACCUAAUUUCUACUAGCAAAUUAACCAAACACAAAAAUUUAUGCUUACUUUUACAUUCUGGAAAUUGUCUUAUUCAGGAUUUGAAUCUUAUGAAGACGAUUGGUAUAGCUAAAGAAUGUCAAGGACUUUACAAGCUAGUGAUGCCUCAAAAGUGUUUUAAAAAUGAUAUCUUACAGAACAACGAGCAUAGUGUUCAAGCAGUGUCAAAAUAUGAUAUAUGGCACAUUAGAAUGGGACAUUUAUCAAAUGAGAGGUUGAGAUUGUUACAAUCAGUUGAUAAUAGUAUAGUUUUACCUAGCAAUGAUCAUUGUAAAACAUGUCACUUUGCUAAGCAAAAGAAACUUUCUUUUCCUGUUAGCACAUAUUCUGUUAGCAACAUCUUUGAUCUAAUUCAUACUGAUAUUUGGGGUCCCUUUAGGACUGAAUCUUAUAGUCGUUACAAAUAUUUUCUUACAAUUGUUGAUGAUAGAUCACGAUAUACUUGGGUUUUUUGUAUCAAAAUGAAGUCUGAGGUGCCCAUUUUGAUUCAGAAUUUUUUUUAUCUUUGUGGAGACUCAAUUUAAUAAGAAAAUAAAAUGCAUAAGAUCUGACAAUGGAAAAGAAUUCUUUAUGCCUCAUUUUUAUAGAUCCAAAGGUACUAUUCAUCAAACUAGCUGUCCUUAUACCCUGCAACAAAAUAGUACAGUUGAGAGGAAGCAUCAACAUAUACUCAAUGUAGCUAGGGCAUUACUUUUUCAAGCUAAGUUGCCUUUAACUUUUUGGUCAGAUUCUAUCAUUCAUUCACUUUACUUAAUUAACCGAACUCCCUCUCCUAUAAUUGAUAACCUAACACCAUAUCAAAUUCUUUUUAACCAAAAACCUGACUUGACUGAUCUUAAAGUGUUUGGUUGUUUAGCAUAUGCCUCAACUAUUUCUGAACUAAGACACAAGUUUGAUUCAAGAGCUAUACCACCUGUCUUCAUUGGUUAUAUUCCAAAUACAAAAGGGUUUAAACUUUUUAAUUUGAACACAAAAACCAUUUUUGCAUCAAGACAUGUUGUUUUUCAUGAAAAUAUUUUUCCAUAUGAUACUAUAAAAACUCCUUAAGAUGUUUCUGUCAUACCAUCUGUUGUCAUGAAAAACUGUACUACUAAUGCUUUUAUUGAUGAUUGUAGCACUCACACUGAUAUGCCUACUGCAAUCAGAACCCUUCCAAAUUCUUAUAUAUCUGAUUCAAAUCUACCUUCAUCAUCCAUUUCUACUUCUCAAAUACUACCAAACUAUACAACCAAAUCUGACAGAUCAGUAAAGCCACCAAAUCAUCUUCAGAAUUACAUCUGCCAAACCACAAAAUCAAUCAAACACAUACCUCACCUCAUUCUCUUGACAAAGUCCUUUCUUAUAAAAACCUAAGCACUAAUUAUAGACACUAUAUCAAUCCUGUUACAAAAAUUAUUGAACCAAGGUCAUAUAAUGAAGCAAUCAAGCAUAAAUGCUAGCAAGAAGCAAUGGAUCAAGAGCUGGAUGCUUUACAGAAGAAUAACACUUGGAUUCUUUGUGAUUUACCACAAGGGAAGAAGCCAAUUGGCUGUAAAUUGGUUUAUCGAGUUAAAUAUUUGUCAAAUGGGUCCAUUGAACGUUGCAAGGCACGAUUAGUUGCAAAAGGAUACACUCAGCAGAAUGGAGUAGAUUUUCUUGAUACGUUCUCUUCAGUUGCUAAAGUUACAACAAUACGAACAUUGCUUGCUGUUGCAGCAACUAAGGGUUUUAUUCUAGCACAGUUAGACAUAAAUAAUGCUUUCCUUUAUGGUGAUUUAAAUGAAGAAGUUUAUAUGACUGUUCCCCCAGGUUAUCUUUCCACAAAAUCUAAUCAAGUUUGCAAGUUACAGAAAUCCUUGUAUGGAUUAAAACAAGCUAGCAGAUAAUGGAAUGCCAAGCUUACAGCUUCACUUCUUCAAGAGAAAUACAAGCAAUCUGAUGCUGAUCCCUCUCUCUUUCUCAAGAAAGAAGGUAAAUCAUUCACUGCUCUCCUUGUAUAUGUUUGAUGAUGUUAUCAUUGCUAGCAAUGACUCUGAUGAAGUGAAUCAUAUUAAGAAGUAUCUUCAUGAUAAGUUCAAGAUCAAAGAUCUAGGUACAUUAAAGUAUUUCUUAGGCUUUGAGAUAGCUAGGUCAGCCAAAGGGAUCAACAUUUCUCAAUGAAAAUAUGCUCUAGACAUCUUGAAAGACACAGGUUUUAUGGAAUCUAAACCUGUUUCAACCCCUAUGAUUCCUAAUUAGAAGUUUAAUUAAGAAUCAACAGGAAUAUUACAAGAUAAUUCUAUGUAUAGAAGACUUAUUGGUAAAUUGCUUUAUCUGUGUACAACAAGGCCAGACAUAUCCUUUGCAGUACAUUUUUUGAGUCAGUUUCUUGAUAAGCCUACUGAAUCACAUCUUCAAGCUGUACAUCGAAUACUUAGAUACAUUAAAAAGGCUCCAGGUCAAGGUCUGUUCUUUCCUAAGGAUUCUGAUUUAACUCUUAAAGCUUUUAGUGAUUCAGAUUGGGCAUCUUGUUUACAAACAAGAAAGAGGCUGAUUUCAUGGAAGUCAAAGAAGCAAAAUACAGUUGCUAAGAGCUCUUCAGAGGCUGAAUAUCGAGCAUUAGCUGCUGUAACUUCAGAAAUUCAGUGGCUCAGAUCUCUUCUUCAAGAACUUGAUAUGUUUCAACCGGCAGCAACCCCUCUUUAUUGUGAUAACCAAUCAGCUAUUCACAUAGCUCAAAACCCGUGUUUUCAUGAGAGGACAAAGCACAUAGAAGUUGAUUAUCAUGUUGUAAGACAACAACUUCAACAACAAGUUAUUCAUCUCUUACCUGUAAGAACUCAGAAUCAAGUGGCAAACUUUCUCACCAAAGCUCUUCCACCAUCUAUGUUCAACUCAGCAAUAGACAAGCUUGGCAUACACAAUAUGUAUGCUACAGCUUGAGGGGGGUAAUACAGGUCAUGUUUACUGUGUUGUAGUUACCGUAGUUAAUUAUUGAUGGCUGUUAUAUAGUUAGUUAUUGGAAUUAACACGUGGCAUAACUCUAUUGGUCAUAGGGUUUGUAAUUUAGCUAUAAAUACAUGCAUAAUGUAUGAGCACAUUAACAAGAAUAAUAAUUCAAUUUUCUUCAGUUUCUUUUCUUCGAAGUUUCCUGUUUCUUCUUCAUCUCAACACUAACAGAAACACACUUCGACGUACCUACUUUUAUUGAAAACAAACACAUUGCUCACACAAACAGGGCCAUAAGACGGUGAGCAAUGAACUUUAUUUACUGCCACAUUGAUACGGUACCUCCCCUGACAGGCAUUCAGGACAAGAAUGUUUGGGCUAGGCACUGCGCGCGCAUAUCGCAGGAAAAUGAUAUUCUACUUGCCCUUAUAAUCACUCUGUAGUAAUCUUCUAAUUGCCACGGACGUACUUGCUCCAACCACUCUGCGACGAUAGCCUGGAGUCCCUCACAUUGGCAAUCUUCUCUUACUGGCUCUACUUCAUUGCAAGACUCCCGGAGCUGCUGUCUCUCCUGCUGGUUUAUUUCUCCUGGCAUCUCCAACACUUCUUUGUCUGUUGAU
rnacentral:lncRNA from 1 species